AGAGGGUGAUCUUGGCUCAGGAUGAACGCUGGCGGCGUGCUUAACACAUGCAAGUCGAGCGAAGCACUUAAGUGGAUCUCUUCGGAUUGAAACUUAUUUGACUGAGCGGCGGACGGGUGAGUAACGCGUGGGUAACCUGCCUCAUACAGGGGGAUAACAGUUAGAAAUGGCUGCUAAUACCGCAUAAGCGCACAGGACCGCAUGGUCUGGUGUGAAAAACUCCGGUGGUAUGAGAUGGACCCGCGUCUGAUUAGCUAGUUGGAGGGGUAACGGCCCACCAAGGCGACGAUCAGUAGCCGGCCUGAGAGGGUGAACGGCCACAUUGGGACUGAGACACGGCCCAGACUCCUACGGGAGGCAGCAGUGGGGAAUAUUGCACAAUGGGGGAAACCCUGAUGCAGCGACGCCGCGUGAAGGAAGAAGUAUCUCGGUAUGUAAACUUCUAUCAGCAGGGAAGAAAAUGACGGUACCUGACUAAGAAGCCCCGGCUAACUACGUGCCAGCAGCCGCGGUAAUACGUAGGGGGCAAGCGUUAUCCGGAUUUACUGGGUGUAAAGGGAGCGUAGACGGAAGAGCAAGUCUGAUGUGAAAGGCUGGGGCUUAACCCCAGGACUGCAUUGGAAACUGUUUUUCUAGAGUGCCGGAGAGGUAAGCGGAAUUCCUAGUGUAGCGGUGAAAUGCGUAGAUAUUAGGAGGAACACCAGUGGCGAAGGCGGCUUACUGGACGGUAACUGACGUUGAGGCUCGAAAGCGUGGGGAGCAAAAAGGAUUAGAUACCCUGGUAGUCCACGCCGUAAACG
rnacentral:rRNA from 1 species